rnacentral:rRNA from 1 species
UACGUAGGGUGCAAGCGUUAAUCGGAAUUACUGGGCGUAAAGCGUGCGCAGGCGGUGAUGUAAGACAGAUGUGAAAUCCCCGGGCUCAACCUGGGAACUGCAUCCGAGACUGCUUUGCUCGAGUAUGGGAGAGGGAAGUGGAAUUUCCGGUGUAGCGGUGAAAUGCGUAGAUAUCGGAAGGAACAUCAGUGGCGAAGGCGACUUCCUGGACCAAUACUGACGCUCAGGUGCGAAAGCGUGGGGAGCAAACAGG